rnacentral:rRNA from 1 species
CCCUUAGAUGUCCUGGGCCGCACGCGCGCUACACUGAUGCAUUCAACGAGUAUUUCCUUGGCCGAGAGGCCUGGGCAAUCUUUUAAACCUGCAUCGUGAUAGGGAUAGAUUAUUGCAAUUAUUAAUCUUGAACGAGGAAUUCCUAGUAAACGCAAAUCAUCAAUUUGCAUUGAUUACGUCCCUGCCCUUUGUACACACCGCCCGUCGCUCCUACCGAUUGAAUGUUCCGGUGAGCUCUUCGGACUGCGCGGUCUGCAGUUUCUGCGUUCCGUGCGGAAAGUUGCGCAAACCUUAACAUUUAGAGGAAGGAGAAGUCGUAACA